rnacentral:rRNA from 1 species
AUGGAGCUGCUCGUCAAGGCACGCAGGCACGCGCGGGUCCAGCGGCAGGAAGGGCACAGAGGAGGACCGAGCUCGCCGGUGCGCGUGGCCAAGGGAUCGGCGGCAGCGGAUCUGAGUCCCACCCGUUGGGAUCGAACGACAGAUGGCGUGAGGCAGUUGGAUGCGAGUCCCACUCCCAACCUGAGGGCUCGACCUUCUCGAUUCCUGGCUGCGGCGGGUGUGGAACUCCGAAGUGACGGUGAACUCGCCGGCGUCGCACUGCCCCCACACAAGCGCCAUCAGAGUAUUCACGCUCCCGUUGCGACGCACGGGUUUGUGGAGGUGAUGGCACGAGUAUUUACCAGGAUGCUUGGAGAUGCGUUGGCAUAUGUCUAG